rnacentral:rRNA from 1 species
CGCCUACGGGAGGCAGCAGUGGGGAAUAUUGCACAAUGGGGGGAACCCUGAUGCAGCGACGCCGCGUGGGUGAAGGAGUAUUUCGGUAUGUAAAGCCCUAUCAGCAGGGAAGAACAAUGACGGUACCUGACUAAGAAGCCCCGGCUAACUACGUGCCAGCAGCCGCGGUAAUACGUAGGGGGCAAGCGUUAUCCGGAUUUACUGGGUGUAAAGGGAGCGUAGACGGCAAUACAAGUCGGAAGUGAAAUACCCGGGCUCAACCUGGGAACUGCUUUGGAAACUGUAUGGCUGGAGUGCUGGAGAGG